rnacentral:misc_RNA from 1 species
GAUGAAGAACGUAGCGAAAUGCGAUACGUAAUGUGAAUUGCAGAAUUCAGUGAAUCAUCGAAUCUUUGAACGCAUAUUGCGCUCUCUGGUAUUCCGGAGAGCAUGCUUGUUUGAGUAUCAGUAAACACCUCAACUUCCAUAUCUUUUUGAAAUGGGAGUUGGACUUGAGUGAUCCCAACGCUUUUCCUCACCGAAAAGUGGCGGGUUACUUGAAAUGCAGGUGCAGCUGGACUUUUCUCUGAGCUAUAAGCAUAUCUAUUUAGUCUGCCUAAAAAACAGAUUAUUACCUUUGCUGCAGCUAACAUAAAGGAGAUUAGUUCUUGUGCUGACUGAUGCAGGAUUCACAAAGACGGCUUCGGCCGACUUUGUAAACUCGAUCUCAAAUCAAGUAAGACAACCCGCUGAACUUAAGCAUAUCAAUAAGCGGAGGA